rnacentral:rRNA from 1 species
UACAGAGGUCUCAAGCGUUGUUCGGAUUCAUUGGGCGUAAAGGGUGCGUAGGCGGCGGGGAAAGUCUGAUGUGAAACCCUGGGGCUCAACCCUGGAACUGCAUUGGAUACUUCCUUGCUAGAGUACUGGAGAGGAAACUGGAAUUUACGGUGUAGCAGUGAAAUGCGUAGAGAUCGUAAGGAAGACCAGUGGCGAAGGCGAGUUUCUGGACAGUUACUGACGCUGAGGCACGAAGGCCAGGGGAGCAAACGGG